rnacentral:tRNA from 1 species
ACGCCUGUAGCUCAGUGGAUAGAGCGCCGGCCUCCGGAGCCGGGUGGGGAGGUUCGAUUCCUCUCAGGCGUACCA